UAACAUAUUCCUCCUUGGAGUGCUCAGAGAUUCCUCCCUUGGGUUUUGGGGACAGUCCCCAAGGACACCCCUCAAGGCUGAGUGAAAGAGAUUUGCCUGUGAUCAUUGGUCUGGGUUACAUCAAGCAACAGCAAUGCCACAUCUGAGGCUUAGGACCUGAAAUACACCAUUCCUCUGGUUGCCACAGCAAGUCCCAAGCAGCGGGGAAUUACAGCAGCUGGGAAUUCUGCCAUGGAGACUAAAAGGAAUUAUCAAGGACUCCACUGGUGAGAAACAACAGUUUGUGAUAUACAAUGCCACAGAACACCAGGUAGUAACAACAGAAGAAAAGGAAAUCUGCUGUUUGCUUUCACUGCUUGCAGACUCAGAAGUUGCUGGUGAGAAAAAGUGCUGACAAUUUCGGCAUUGGGUUUGUCCACAAUGGAAAUUCUCAUUAAAAUAAUAAAACUCAGAACAGAGAAGACAGAAUCCCAGAAUUG